UUUCUUAUUUUAAUGUCACUAUCUGCGGAUCAGUGUACGGUUUAUGGAAGUAUCCAGAAUCGGCAUUAAAAAUAUGCACAUGUGUAAACUGUCGGAUAAUUCGCUUUGAAAAUUACAUUCUUUCUGAAAAGGUCAAAUGAAGGCUGUUUGAAAAAGCUAUGGCGUCUUUUAUAUUUCUCUAGAACGUCAGAACUGGCUAGCUACUUACGUAACCGGAAACAGGUGGGAGACCUGUAAAAAGUAAACAGUCAGCUGCCUUGUUUAGAAUGGUAUAGUGAGUUUGCUCGCAUUUGUAAUGGCCAACUGGCUAGAUGGUAAAGUUGACAUAAUUUUUCCCGACCGUGAAGAAUGCCUUACUUAUUUACAUUCUGAACAGAUUUGGCUCCUGAGUAAAUCUUUCGCUUUUCCCGUCGCAGCAUUUUCUACACAAGUAAUAUUGGAAGCGCUGUCCUAAAAUUUCUUCUUACCAUGAAGAGUGCCUGACACGCAAGCGUAGAGAUGUAUUAACACGGCGACACAAUUACAUCGAGAAAUACCAUCUUUGGGAAAAUAACGGUAUUUUCUGUAACUGCAAAAACAAAGCCAUGAAGUCAAAGGAAUUGCCCAUAGAACUUCGAGACAGAAUUGUGUAUAAAUAAUUAUUUGUUAUAAAUUAUAAUACUGAAUGUUAUAAUAUGAAAAGUUGUUGAUUUUCGGCUGCUUUAAUCCCAUUUCCUCACAGUUCUUUGGUGAUGUCAGAGGAACCAAGGUUGGCUUUAAGGGGAAAUCAUCCCCAGGGAAAUUAUUUAUUUAAAUGUACUGAAAUAAUUAGUUAAUUGGCCUAAUAAGGAUUGUUUUGCAUUUGACCAGCUAAGACCUUUUGUGUCAUAUCUACUUUCUCUUGUUUUAAAUUCUGGCACCAGUUAGCUAUAUUAUGCUGGGCAAUGAUUGGAAUGCUGACUGCAUUCAGAUUCAUAAAUAUUCUCCAGCCAGAGGAAAACCUGUUAGCCUGAUUUGCUCCAGGUGUAACCACGUCCAUUCAAAACUGAAAGUACACUGACUUCAAAAUAUGUCAAACCAGUAAUGAGGUACCUUUGCGUUAUUUGUCACAGGUCACAGUACUGACCCAUUCUACAUCCUGGCAUUAAUGGACCUGCAUCAGCAAUGAGUGAAAUGGAGGGCCGUUUCCACUGGGGAAAGAGGCUGAAUGAUUUUUAAAUGGCUGACAGUGGCUGACCAGUGGACUGGGCGCAGUGCGAUUAUGCUGUCGCAUGGCAGGCACAUCCAUCCAGGGAUGCUGGCACGGUUUGCUGAAUUUGGACUGAGCAACAAAGGACUGAUGGAAGCCUCACAUCUGAGGUAACAGCAGCGUGCUGCCACUCUGUGAGUGAAUCUGACCCAAGUCUGUGGUUAAGCUAAAGCUAAAUGAAGACAGGCAUCUAUGUCUCAGUAGAUGCUUACAAAAACAGGAGGAGAAAGGACCAUUAACAUUAAAAUCAAAUACUUGCUAAAAUCUGCCUGCAGGACCACCAUUUUUCACAUUGCAGCCUUUUUAAUCUGAUCCACCUCCAGCGUUUUUAGUGAAAUGCACUAGAACACAUGGGUAUACUGUGUGUCAUUAUCCAAGUCAAUGUAACUGUUUUGUUUUUGCCAAAGGAGCAUAUUGGCCAGUUUUUAGUGAAGUUACUGAAGGAUGAUGACGUUCAGCCUGCAUGGGUUUUUACCAGUGAUCUUUAUUCCUGGUCCUGGAGAGCUGCAGGUUCUGCAGCUUUUUGUUUUCACCAUAAUAUCAGCAGCCAAUUCAAACCCAAGUUAACUGUGUAAUUGACUGCUUUAAUUGAUCAACUAAGUGCCAAGUGACAACAGAAACCAGCAGACCCCGUGGCUCUCCAGGGCCAGGAAUGAUGACAACAGUUUUUUAUUGUAAUGUAGUGUCGUGAUUUAUUUGCGUUAGACCAGGGCAAUGUCUGAAUCGGCACACUCGCAUACUAUUGUAUACAACUUGUAUACUCAAUGUCGGCAAGUUCACUUGGACAUGGCCCAGGGCUCCCCGGCCCUGAUCCUGUAGAUCUACCUUACUUUAGGAUUUUACUCCUGGCCUAAGGAAGCACACUUCAUUCAACAGCUAGAGACCUCAUUUAGCUGCUUAUUAGACUCGGGUGUGCCAAAUUAGGGGUGAAAUGAAAACCUACAGGAAGGCAGAUCUCCAGGAAGAGGGUUGGGGAGCCCUGCUUUGGACUGCUUAUGACAGGUUCUGCAUUCCUGCAUGUUCUAGUUAACAGUUCUGGUGUGGGUGUUGAACAGGGGGACAGUUCAAGGGAGGAAUGCUCAUUUAACAAUGACAGAGACUAUUUCAUUUAAAGUACGUGGAGUCUCAUGUCUUGCCAGUACUGAGAGAGAAUCUUUAAGUCUCUGCUUUGAAUACGUAUACGUACAUGUACCAAUGGAAGUUAACUUUGGUUUGACUGAAAAUGUGAAAAUGUAGUGUAAACUGCCAUUUAUACAAAUCCUGCACAGGGGCUAAAGAUUCUCUAUCAAAACUGGCAAGAUGUCGGACUAUGUACUUUAAAAUGGAAAAUUCUUAUCAGGAAGCAUGGGGGUUGAAAGUAGAAAAGUCUGUUUAGUUUCCAUUAAUGUGCCAGGGCUAGUCCUGGGACUGGAAUGUUGUCUUUGUCACCUUUAAAAAAUAAGCUCAUGGCAAUUGAAUGGCAACAGAGAAAUCUUUGGGCAAACUGAAAAACAUUUAUUUCAAAAUCCAUUAUUUCUGUUGGUUUCUGUGUUAACUAACAAUAAAUGUGGUUAAAGGCCAUAGAAAUGUCCUCCUUGUUGUCAUCUGCCAAUGAGAUGAAGCAGAAUAGGGUUACAGUACCAAAUGCAAUGAGGUUUCCUCUGUCAUUCUGACUACAGUUUCCAAUACUGAGAAAACACUACAGAGAAACAGGAUUACACUGGUGUUGGGUCUUUUACACAUUAAAGAGCACAGAUAGAUCAUUGUAUGAAAGAUGCCUCUUAUUUACUACAACAAUUAUAAAUUUAUUCUUAAACUAACAGGCAUGCAUACAUAAUAUUUGCCAGGCUGCAAAAACAUUAUCCAGGGCAUUUACAAGAAAUAUGCCAUUUAAGGAGGUGUGUGAAAAUGUUUGAUGUGCAGUGCAUUGACAGGGUCUUGUGUGGUCCUACGCUGGUGUCUGGCUCUGCUGCUCCUGCAGUACAAGGUUCGAGUCCUUGCAGUGUAAUACACUUGGACAAGACUACUCCUGCACUGGCAUUUUACGCACCCUCUGUGACCCAGAGGACAUGAACUCACUGUCUGUUCAUUCUAAUUCAUCCAAAUUAGUAUCAGAUUUUAACAAAAAAUACAGGGGUAUUGAAGCUUAGAUCAUACUCACUAUACUUGUGGCAAAACCUGUAAGUGCAGCUUCGCCUGCUUGUCACUGGGGUGUUUGACUGGGAUGAUUAGAAGAAGCACACACCAGUCCACCUUUGUUUUCUAAUGAAAUCAACAGAAAGUUCUGUUGAUUGCUCUUUCAGACCUUAAGCCCAAGUGCAAUUCAGUUGCUGAGACAAAAAAUAUUGUUACAAGCAAAAUAUACACAUUUAAUUCAGAAUUAAUUGCACUACAUUAAUACUUAGGCCAUUGAGACAUCAGAGGCCCUUCAAAUAAUUCUAAAAUUGUUUUCCAAGAAAUGGAAAAACCUCCAUUGACCACAACAAUGAGCCAGGGAAUUAGCAUGUCCCCUAGUCCAGGCACAAGCUGUUCAAAAUGGUUAUUUAGGACCAGUUAAUGUUUCACUUCAGUGAAAUUAAAACAGCGGUGUACGAGAGGAAACCCAUACUAUACGCGUAUCAGCUGGUGGCAGUGCCAGCGGGGAGGGAGGGGUUUCAGACGGUGUG